rnacentral:rRNA from 1 species
UGGGGAAUAUUGCACAAUGGGCGCAAGCCUGAUGCAGCCAUGCCGCGUGUAUGAAGAAGGCCUUCGGGUUGUAAAGUACUUUCAGCGGGGAGGAAGGGAGUAAAGUUAAUACCUUUGCUCAUUGACGUUACCCGCAGAAGAAGCACCGGCUAACUCCGUGCCAGCAGCCGCGGUAAUACGGAGGGUGCAAGCGUUACUCGGAAUUACUGGGCGUAAAGCGCACGCAGGCGGUUUGUUAAGUCAGAUGUGAAAUCCCCGGGCUCAACCUGGGAACUGCAUCUGAUACUGGCAAGCUUGAGUCUCGUAGAGGGGGGUAGAAUUCCAGGUGUAGCGGUGAAAUGCGUAGAGAUCUGGAGGAAUACCGGUGGCGAAGGCGGCCCCCUGGACGAAGACUGACGCUCAGGUGCGAAAGCGUGGGGAGCAAACAGG